UACGGAGGGAGCUAGCGUUGUUCGGAAUUACUGGGCGUAAAGAGCGCGUAGGCGGUCUGUAAAGUUAGGAGUGAAAUCCCAAGGCUUAACCUUGGAACUGCUCUUAAAACUCACAGACUAGAGAUUGGUAGAGGAUGGUGGAAUUCCUAGUGUAGAGGUGAAAUUCGUAGAUAUUAGGAGGAACACCGGUGGCGAAGGCGGCCAUCUGGGCCAACACUGACGCUGAGGCGCGAAAGCGUGGGGAGCAAACAGG
rnacentral:rRNA from 1 species